rnacentral:lncRNA from 1 species
GGCAUUGUUCCUCCUGAAUACAGUGGAAUUCUGCAAUUCCAGAUUUCAGUAUCAGAAUUAGCAAGGCUGGGUUGCAAGGGCGGUUGCUUGUCUACACUUCAACUGGUCCCAGACCAGUGCCAGCGAUGCUGAACAGUUUCAGCUUUUGAUUGUUUAUUAAAUUUGCCCUUCAUCCGUAGAUCUCAAGAUGGUUCACGACAUAAAAUACAAUAUAAAAACGCAAAAUGCAUAAUAAAACAAGAAUAAAAAACAAAAACCAGUAACCCCCCCCUCCCCCGUCCCACAAACACAUUUAAAAGGAGUAUAAGAUGUUAAUCAGCCAAUGGCCUGGUUGAAGAGGAAUGCCCUGGGGAGAGGAUUCUGCAAGCAGGGAGUCACUGCAGAAUAGGCCUAUUCUUGAGUUGCCACCCUCCGGACCUCUCAGGUAGGAGGCACACAAAGAAGGGCCUCAGAGGAUGAUCUCUCUCUUUUUAAAAUAAUUUUUAUUCAUUUUUAAACAUAUUAAUUGUCAUACAUACAACAAAAUUUCACAUCUUAUACAAUCUUUUGGACUUCCAUCAACACCUCUGAUGAUCCCCCAUUUAUAUCAUUUCUUCUGCAUUUCUUAAAUUCAUAUUGCCUUUAAUUCUCUUAACUAAUGUCUCCCUUUUUAUCCAGUUAUGCAAUAGUUCAAAUUAUUCACCUCACAAAACUUCUUGCAAACCUACAAAUGUAAUCUGGUCAUCACAAUUACUUUUCAAAUAAUCCGUAAAUUUACAUCAAUCUUCUGUGAAUCUCUGGUCCCGCUGGUUUCGAAUUCUUCCUGUUAGUUUGUCUAAUUCUGCAUAGUCCAUCAAUUUCAUCCUCCAAUCUUCUAUCGUCGGUAGUUCUUCUUGCUUCCAUUUUUGUGCCAGUAAUAUUCUUGCUGCCGUCAUUGCAUAUAAAAACAGCUUGCAGUCCUUUCUGUUUAUAUCAUCUCCUACAAUGCCCAGUAAAAAUGCUUCUGGUUUCUUAAUGAAUGUAUAUUUCAACAGUUUUUCCAUCUCAUUAUAUAUCAUUUCCCAGAGGUUUUUCACCUUUUUACAUUUCCACCACAUAGGAUAAGUCAGAGGAUGAUCCCAGGGUCUGGGUAGGUUCAUGGAUGAGGGAGGUCUUGCUCUGGCAUUCAGCAACAGCAGCCACAGACCUGAAGGCUGGCAGAUAGGACAACUGCAGUUCCCCAGGUUGGAGGAGGGGCUGGCAUAUGGCACAGUCAGUAACUACCUGUGCUUUGUGCCCCAUUACCCAGCCUGUUCCAACUCCCAACUCCAUAACUCCUACCUUGAACUACUGUGAUUGUGGGUCCCCCUUGCUCUCCCCUGCUCCUCUCUUCCCAGGCACAUCCUAUGCCCUUUUAUUUAAAACAAAGGCAAAUGAAAACCAAAAUUUAAAAACACUUUUAAACAUUUUAAACAGCUGGGGCACUAAAACCAAUAAUAGAGCCCCCAACAGCUGAAGUGAGUGUAUCCCACCCACUUCAAGGGAACAUGGAGGUUAUCACUGUUUUAGCGUCACAGUUUCUCAAGGUAGGUCAGGCUUAGACAUGAGACUGACUUGGCGCUCCUGCUGGGCAAGGAUUUGAAUCAUAGCCUCCAAGAUCCAAGUCAAACACUAUUUAUACUUAACUUGCAUUGGCUCUCCUACAUAGAAAUUGAAGGCAACCUUAUUUCUUCAGCAACAGAUGCCCUGCUAUACUAUCUGACCAGUUAUUUGGAUGAAGGAAUUGAUGGACGUUCAACACAUUUGUGGAUGACACCAAAUGGGCGUCCUCAAAAGGCGGAAUCGGGAUUCAAUAUGAGCUUAACAGGUUGUGAAACUGGGUCAGAACUAACAAAAUGAAUUUCAAUUGGGACAAUCUUGGGCAGGAAUGAUCAGAUGUACAAAUAUAAGGGACACCUGGCCUGACAGCAGUAUGUGUGAAAAGGAUCUAGCGGUCUUAGUAAACCACAAGCUUAACCCGAGUCCUAAGUGUGAUGCAGCAGCAAAGAAAGUGAAUUCAGUUGUCGGCUGCAUUGACAUAAACAUAGUGUCUAGAUCAAGGGAAGUAGCAGCAGUACUGCGUUCCGCUUUGGUCUGACUGCCUGGAGUCCUGUGUCCAGUUCUUGUCUCUGCUGUUUAAGAGGGAUGAUGACAAGCUAGAACAUGUGCAGAGGAGAGUGAGCAAGAUGGAAAAGGGUGUGGAAAUCGAGCUUAUGAGGAACAGUGGUUUAGCCUGGAUAAGAGAAGACACUUCAUUGCAGUCCAUAUUAGUACGUCUGGUCUAAAACUGACUUGUGUUUUCUGCUCUUAACUCCAGUGAAGAGCAUAUGAAGAAAGAACAAUGCCACCCUGAAUCAGAGAAUCACAGUCAAAACUUGUUUUCCUUCAGUUUUUACCCCCAAAAUAAAAAUCAGACUGAGUAGGAAUCCUUCCGAAAUUCUCUUCAAAUAAAUCUUCCAUGGAUUUGGGGAGUUCUGAGUUUCCUG